rnacentral:rRNA from 1 species
GCGUUAAUCGGAAUUACUGGGCGUAAAGCGUGCGCAGGCGGUUAUACAAGACAGGCGUGAAAUCCCCGGGCUUAACCUGGGAAUGGCGCCUGUGACUGUAUAGCUAGAGUGUGUCAGAGGGGGGUAGAAUUCCACGUGUAGCAGUGAAAUGCGUAGAUAUGUGGAGGAAUACCAAUGGCGAAGGCAGCCCCCUGGGAUAACACUGACGCUCAUGCACGAAAGCGUG